rnacentral:tRNA from 1 species
CAGGGAGACAACAAAAUGUUAAAUAUUAAUUUUGUCACCUUAGGUCGAUCGGUAUCUCACAUUCUUAAUUAAUUAAGGAUUUCAUUUUCUAAGUUUUUUUUCUAGGUCACACCCCAUUACUUUUCCUGGGCCAUUAGCUCAGGUGGUUAGAGCGCACCCCUGAUAAGGGUGAGGUCCCUGGUUCAAGUCCAGGAUGGCCCAUAUCUCUAUGUUGGGGGUAUAGCUCAGUUGGUAGAGCGCCUGCUUUGCAAGCAGGAUGUCAGCGGUUCGAGUCCGCUUACCUCCACUGUUCACCACCUCUUCCAUAAAUUAGAAGGAAAUGUUUUGAGUUGUGAUCAAAUUCUGAACGAAUCUAGCUUCCUAAUAAAACUAUUAAGAUGCUGGACUCAUUGAAUUAAUUUCAUUGUUUUCAGAGAACCUUGACAACUGCAUAGAUUAUUUUUAAAAACAAUGAGCAUCUUUAAUGAUGCAGUUUUUUAUUUUUGCUAAUGCAUUAAUAACAAUUCUAUUAAGCUGAUGCUUCAAUUUUUGAAGUUAUU